CAGCUGGUAGCGUAAUGGUUAUCGCUACUGCCUUCGGAUCUGAAGGGUACAGGUAUGAUCCCUGACUCUGGCUGU
rnacentral:tRNA from 1 species